rnacentral:rRNA from 1 species
GAUUACCUCAGUAACGGCGAGUGAAGCGGUAACAGCUCAAAUUUGAAAUCUGGGUCUUUCAGGCUCCGAGUUGUAAUUUGUAGAAGAUGCUUUGGGUGCGGCCCCGGUCUAAGUUCCUUGGAACAGGACGUCAUAGAGGGUGAGAAUCCCGUAUGUGAUCGGUGGCUUGCGCCCGUGUAAAGCUCUUUCGACGAGUCGGGUUGUUUGGGAAUGCAGCUCUAAAUGGGUGGUAAAUUUCAUCUAAAGCUAAAUAUUGGCCAGAGACCGAUAGCGCACAAGUAGAGUGAUCGAAAGAUGAAAAGCACUUUGGAAAGAGAGUUAAACAGUACGUGAAAUUGUUGAAAGGGAAGCGCUUGCAACCAGACUUGCGCGGGGUUGAUCAUCCGGGGUUCUCCCCGGUGCACUCGGCCUCGCUCAGGCCAGCAUCGGUUUCGGUGGCUGGAUAAAGGCCUUGGGAAUGUGGCUCCUUUCGGGGAGUGUUAUAGCCCUCGGUGCAAUACAGCCUACUGGGACCGAGGACCGCGCUUCGGCUAGGAUGCUGGCGUAAUGGUUGUAAGCGACCCGUCUUGAAACACGGACCAAGGAGUCUAACAUCUAUGCGAGUGUUUGGGUGUCAAACCCAUACGCGUAAUGAAAGUGAACGGAGGUGAGAACCCUUAAGGGUGCAUCAUCGACCGAUCCUGAUGUCUUCGGAUGGAUUUGAGUAAGAGCAUAGCUGUUGGGACCCGAAAGAUGGUGAACUAUGCCUGAAUAGGGUGAAGCCAGAGGAAACUCUGGUGGAGGCUCGCAGCGGUUCUGACGUGCAAAUCGAUCGUCAAAUUUGGGUAUAGGGGCGAAAGACUAAUCGAACCAUCUAGUAGCUGGUU